UGCAUUCAAUGAUAUCUGCACCCAUCAGAACUUCCUGAUGAGGUGUUCAAAGUAGUGCUAUAUGAUAUCAGGGUCUGGCAUCGUUGGUUUACCUGCUAUCUGUGCUUGUUAACCUAGUAACUGCUGAUACAUGA
ensembl:snoRNA